ensembl:lncRNA
CUUGGCUUGGGUAGGGCUGCAGAUGUCAACAAAGCUACCCCAGAAAUAAUUUCUUCUGCUGUAUUUGCUUGCUUAAUGCCCCUGCUUUAAGAUCAAUGCUAUGAUAGCUCGGCAGUCCAUUUCUCGAACAUAACCUGUUCUAUCCAAGUGCACCCAAAAAACAUAAAUCAGCUCUUUUAGUUGGAACCCGGUGACCAUUAAUUUCAGGCUGAGGCAUUAUUGUUAUUCUCUUCAUACCGUGCAAAAUAUUUCCCUGGAUUCUGACAAGGGGAGGAAAUUUCAUAGUGUUAGAAAUAUUACUGGGAGCAUCUUGUUCCGACUGGAUUCAGAUCUCUGUUAUUUUGGCAUUCUCUUCUGCUUUUCAAAUUGCUGUUAUUUGAAAGUUACUAACAAUGGAAGAGUGCAUCUGAUCGCUUGGGAAGGCAGCUACAAUGCACAACUGUUCCUCCUACAGAUGUUAAGCUGCUGCUCAAGGUCAUAAAACAUUUGAAUGUCAUUUCUUGAAUAAGUGCUCAUGCUCUGAGGUGGAGGGUUAGCUCACGCAGGUCAUACAGUUCAGCAACUCUAAGUUCAGUCCAGAAUUUCUGCACUGGAGGCAUCCUUACCAUUUUCUAUAAUUAUUAUUUUCCUUUAUAUUAUACCAUUAUGAUAGACUGCAAAUUUUUCUGUGAUUUUUUUUUUCCUUGUGGGAUAAGUGCUAUAUAGAGACACCUGGCGCAAACUGAAUAAGUUACAUGGAGUUGUAGCAGUAGCACAUCCUUUGUGUUGCACUCUGCUUAGCUUAGCUUGGCUAAUUUGCUCUAUUAAGUGUCUCUGUAAAUUGUAGUACCUGCAGUAGUUGUGGCACUUUACAUGGCGUCAUCUGGAAAUCCCUCUAUGUAGCCUUGCUCUCAGAACUGCUACGUUACACCCCUGAGGUUGUGUACUUCUUCUGUCCAGUAAUUUUGAGUCACUAGCACAGCUUAAGUUGAGAAUAAUAUAAAUCCUUGGGCAUUAUAAAACAUGAAUGUCCCUUUGUAACUGCUCUCCCAGACCAGCAUUUGACUUAUUUGCUAGCAGUUAUUUUAUAUAAGGUCAACUGCUGUUGCCUUUGCUAAGAUUUUGUUGCCUCCGUGAAAAGCCCUGGAUUUACCACGAGUAGAAAUAAAACUACCAAAAUACUUGUGUUGUUAUGCUUUAGGUUUCGUGGUAGGUUGGGUAACACACAUGUAUAUUAGGCUACAUUUUCUGAAAGCAUGAACAAGGUCACAAAGAGAUAUGCAGACGCACACAUCCUCCAAGUUUUCUAAGAUAUGCAAAACCCUGCCAUCAUUCUGUGGGAUCAGCAGUGCAAGAGAAGCCUACGGUGAUGAGGAGCCAAUAUGCAGGCCUCAGGGAGCCCCUACUUUCACAUUUGGUGUGAAUUCCAAAGCUUGCCUGUUGUGCUGUUAUUUAUUCCUGCUGGUCAUAAUGAAGGGGGAAAGGAACAAGUAUCAUGUUCACAAAUUUGGUUCUUGAAUCCUUGGCAGAAAUUUUGAGAUCACAGCUCUUCUGUCCUCUGAAAUGCUUUCACUUGGAGAAGUUGUAUGAUGUGAUGGAAUUUCUUUCUUCUUUCUAUCUGUGUUGGCUAAAACAAGACAGAGGAGCUUGAAAAGGCUCACCCUCCUCAAGGAAUGCUAUCUGAUUCGUAAGCAUUCCUAGAGGUUAAGGCUGGUGACUAUCAAGAAAGCAAAUACUUCACGCAAGGCACUCUUCUACCAAAGAGACAGAAGACAGCUUUCAUAUUCUCGAGUCAUCCUACAAAGUCCUGCGUGAAAUAGACUACUGCAGCCUACAGGCAUCAUAGAAAUAUUUCAGUCAAGACCACAAGUUCCACUCUUGCCCCUAUGCUUAUGCUAAUGUGCACGAUCUCUUUGAUGAACAACAGCAAGGAGACUGGAUAGCUUGAGGUGUAAUUGAUGGGAUGCUGAAGGUCUGGCUGUUGUUUUGGUGGUUAUUUUUAUAGAUUAUAAAGGAACUGACCAUGCAGUGCUACCUCAACUUGUGGCUGAAUCUAACAGCUUCAUGGACUCAGCCCUCCAUUUAGCCCAUUUGGUCAAAUUAGGCUGGUGGUAACUGAAAGCUGUGACCAGCUGAUGGCUAUGUUGAAUGAUAGCUUGUGGAAAUCUCCUUAGUGGACUCAGACCAAAUUUUACUGACAGAAUCUCACUAUCUCCAAGCAAAUUCCUCCAAAAUAAAUGCUAACUCAAGGCUCAGGGGCAACCACAGGUUUAAAGACAAGGAGGGUGAACUUGUGUCUUCUCUAGAAGUAUUUUCUGUAAGCCAGCAAUGAAGUGAAAAAAAGGCACAUUUGUGUCAGCACCACCCAGGCUGUCAAUAAAGAACUCCUGCCCUCAGAACUAUCAAAUCAAAUUCAUAUGAAUUUCCCACUCUUCCAAAACCACUUUCCCACAGGGAAGAAGGGAUCACAAAAUUAAACAGCAUUCCCUUCUUCUCACAUCUUUGUAAUCUGCAAGCACUGUGCCUGUCACAGUGCUCCCAGGAGGUUUCCUUAACCAUAAUGUCUCAUCUCUGCAAACAGCUGUUUCCCUUUUGCACAAGAGUUCUUGGAGAUAUGCUUCACUUAUCAGAACUAUACCACUGAAAAGCUGGUAAAUAACCAAGUUCUGUUGGAAAGAUGAAAUUGCACUGCAGAUAGAUGGAUUUGCUUAACCUAUAAAAUAAUUCUGAGAUAGCUAUUGUUUUGGCAAAAUUCUAAAAUGUAACAAAGUUUGAUUGUUCUUGGCUUCUCCUAAUUUGCUUACUUUGGGGUAAUAGCUGGCCUUCAAUAUGCAUGUUAGUCUCGUUACUGUUAAGUUAAAUAUAUACACACAUAUCUAAGAGAGGUUUGACCAUUUACUGUCAGUGUUCCAAGGUUAGCUGAAGUCUGGACCUAUUACUUUCUCUGUGCUCCACUAAUUGAGACCAAGGCUUAUGCAAGACUUCCUUGGGGAUCACAGGGUCUGAGGUUUUUAUAGUCCACAAGGCUAAAAUUCAAAUAUGAACCACAGCUGUUUGGAUGGAAGUCCUGGACCUCAUCCUUUUGAACUAUAGUGACCUGCUCAGCCUUGCCAUCAUGUGAAACUCAGAAAUCCCUGCACAGAUGAUGACUGGGAUGUGAAAAUUGCCUGCCAAGCAGACCUGGGUAAAGUGAUUGGUUUACAGUGCUCUGGGAUUUGCAGGUGAAAGGACUGCUCUCUCACUCUCCUCUGCUACCCUCUUCCCCUCCAUUUCUGUACAUAUCAUUCUUUUAUAUAUAUAUAUAUAUGCAGAUUUGAUUCCACAUUCACCACCCAAACAGCUGAAUUGAUGUUCCUAUUGAAGAUGGUGAAGUUCCUCCCUUCUGCCAAGUACAGUUAUUUUUAUGAGUCCCCAGUAAGAGGUAAAGUAAGAGAAACAGGGUGUGGGAUAAACUAGUUAAUCUAUUUAAAUAGGGAUAGACCUCUAGCGCCCUAACACUUAAAUACUUUGUCUUCACUCGGCUGUGCUAUAUUUUAACUGGGGACUACAACCAGGACAAACAAGCGUGGCCUUUUCCUACUGUGGAUUGUCAUGCGAAAAUAUUUGUGAAGGGGUGGAGUAAACAUUUUUGGGGAUCACACUGCAAGAGGAGAUAUAUGGGAACUCACUGUGAUGCAAAAGGAAAUCAUGUGUUACUCCACAGAUGAUGUGAUUGGCAUUGUGAGCUCAGAUGCGUAAAGACUAUCGAGGCAAAAAAAUCAAGAUUGAAGCAGAAUGAAAUGCUCCUUUCUUCGGUAAGUCAGUGGGAGUCAUAAAUACUUCUGCAUCAGCUAGGAAAGCUACAAAAAACUAAAUCACAACUCUAUUUUCAUGCUGAUGCAUGCACUUUAAAGUAAUAUAUAUAAAAAUGCCUUCCUUUUGGCAUAACUGCAAUUACAUAAAUAUUUAGAUUUAUACUAAUAAGUAAUUUUGCAGAAGUUUAAAAUGAUAGGCUGCGUGAUAGCUAUUUAAGGGGAUGGGCAGCCCACCUUCCAGUGGCCACAGUGACUUCCAUCAAGUCGUAAUUGCAGGAGAGGGUGCUUCUGGAAAUUAAUGGUGAAUCUUAUAUUCCCUUGCAUUUAGAAUCCAAAUCUAUUAUUUCAUUACUACUGUUAAUUAUAUAACAAUCAUAUAAUAAUUAUAAAAAUAAUUAUAUAAUAACUAUGUCUGAAUAAAUAAUAAGCAUUUUCAAUAUUAAUGACUGCCUAGCAAGCAAGGCAAAGCAGAUCUUAAUCUGGUUUGAGUUUCUAUCCUUACACAUUCAUUUUACUCUUGCAAAGCAUAUUAAAUACUAUGGAAUGUAUAAAAAAGGCCACAAUUUCUUCUCUAUUGGUAUACUGAAAGUCUUUGUGUGUCCAAGGUAAUAGGAAUUCCCACAUUCGUGCUUACUGUAAAAUACAGCAAGCAAAAGCUAGAUAAAUUCUGUUUAAUAUGGAAAUAAUUUUGGCUGCAUCUUUGGCUUUGUAUGACAUGGAAACUGGUGAUUGUUUAUGCUUUGCUACUUUUUUUGGUCUGCAUUAAAAUCCCACAUGAGAAACAAAUUUUUCUCUAGGAACAAAAUGUUACUUUUUUGGGACUGAGUUCUAAUAAGUUGGGUAGUACGUCUGCUUCUUUUCAGCUGGGAAAUUGCAAUGCAUAUAAAAUCCAGAUGGAUAACACAUGAGGCUGGAAGCAGCCUUGGCCAAUCAGCCACGUCACUUGAUUAAAAGAAACCUAUAAUAAUUUAAGUAAAAAUAGUACCCUAACAAAGUAACAGAGCAACAAACUGGCUGCAGCAUGCGAUUUCAUCACAGUUCCAAUAUUGCUUUACUUUUGCUGGUUGGUCCUUUCAUAUCUUAUUGUAAAUUAACCUAUUUGCAUUAAGCGUGCAUGGAACUUGUGAUUAAAGCCCCAAAAUGUCAGUGAUGGAAGAUACAUGAUAAGCAGGAUGAGGGGGUAAAUCCAUCACCAGACUACAGAAGGCCACAAGGACCUAUUGCUCUUAGGGCAGUGGUGCACUUGAAGAACUCAGCUGAGAGUUUUGCCAUGAGGAAUCACCUACCCUGGCACGUGCCACACUAGUGCAGACCAGUACUUUUUGUAUGGAUUUUGUCUGUGACUGUCAGAAAGCAAGUAAGUGCAUCAAUGCAAUUACAAGGUCACUCUGCGGAAAAACUCCUGACUAUCCCGCGAGAUGCAGCAGAUUUGUGGGUGAGACUGUCUAAGGCAGCCUGUGAAGAAGUCACAGACAGGACUUGCAGAGGGAUGGAGCCACAUCUGGAAUCCCUGUGGGCAAUUGAAGGAAUGUUUAUUAUUCUUUGUUUAUUAUUUUGAGUGUGUACUCUCCCUCUUCCUUUCUUUGUCUCUCUUUGUUAUUUGUGUAAUAAAAUUCCUCUAGGCAUACAAAGUAAGUAAGUCAUCUGGAAUUGUGCAGUUCCCUCUGCCAGGAAGCUGGAAAAGCCUCUCGUGCAGAGACAAAAAUAUGGGCUCAUCUCAAACACUGAGAAAUUACAGAAAUAUUCACCAUUUGCCUUUGAGUUAUAUUUACAUAGGAAAGAACUGUGGCAAAUACGUGUGCUUCUUGCUGUUAAAAAAAAUUGGCUUUUAUCCUGCCCAAGGUGUUGUGUUUAUUUAAAGGUUGUUGAGAAAUAAUUUGUACGUUCUAAAAUAAAGCAUGCAAAAUACAUUAAAAGGGCCCAGUGACAAAGUUGUUUUUUUUUUUUUGCCAGUGGGUGUGGAGAAGGAAAAGGAAAUGAGUAAGUAGAGAGGAGCGUCUUUAUGGCCACAUGGCUAGUGAAAAUUUCUAUUUAUUCUUUGGGGAAAAAGCAAAGUAGCUGCAUAGUUGCUGGUUGGAUAGGUGCCGGGACUAUUUUUAUUGGCAGGCAGCUCUGAGUGGCUGAAAGGCGGUCAUUAACACUCUGACACAAAGUGCUGACAGGGCGAUUAUAAGAUUAACACCCUAUGUUAUAUUAACAGUGUCAAAACCUCCCCGUACCUGUCAGUGAGAAAUAAUGGCACGAAGGAAAACAUUAUAGACAUGCUGAGACUUUAGCACUGAAAUACCAUGCAGCUAUUCACUUUUUGAAAUUGAUCUAAAUAUCUAGAUGACCUACUGAAGGCUCAUAAAAUAAUGUGAUUUAAAUGGCAGCUUCACCAAAUCAAAAAAUGAAUGCAAAAGUUAAGCCGCCCAGCUUACUUACUCUCUUGUUGACACUUUUAGCCCUGAUCUCCCUGGCAGUGGGUCUCUCACAACUGCUGCCUUUCAGUAGAGUUAUGGUUUGAGAUCUCAUAAAUUUAGGAUUUGACCUUAGGACUUUUGACAAAAACAGAGCUUUUCUGGAGAAUAUUAUUACUGGUCAAAAUUCAACCUCGGUCUUUCUCCAGGACUGCUAGUCAUCAUAGUCUGGUUUUAUCAGUGAGAGCCUUUGGACCAUAAGGACCAAUCUGCAUUUAAAAUGUCUCUGCUCCACGUUCAUUAGAACUGGAAUAGCAAACCCUCUGGCAUAGCUGUCCUGGAGAAUAUCCAAAGAAUGGCAACGAAACCAGUGAAGUUUCUGGAUCACAAGUCUUAUGGAGAGCAACUGAGGGAAAUGAGAUUGGUCAUUCUGGAGAAGGUGAGGUUCAGGGAAGACCUUAUCACACUCUACAGCUGCCUAAAAGGAGGUUGUGGUGAGAUGAGGGUGGGGCUCUUCUCCCAGGUUUCAGUGAUAGGAUGAGAGAUGAUGACCUUAAAUUGCACCAGGGGAGGUUCAAGUUGGAUAUUAGGGAAAAUUUCUUCUCAGGAGUGGUGAUGCACUGGCACAGGCUGCUCAGGGAGGCGGUAGAGUCACUGUCCCUGGAGGUGUUCAAGAAAAGGGUGGGUGUGGCACUGAGGGAUAUAAUCUAGAGCAGUCGUGGCCAUGGCUUGAUGGUUGGACUAGAUGAUCGUAGUGGUCUUUUCAACCUUGAUGAUUCUAUGAUAGCUUCAGCUAGACUGCCUUAUGCUGCCUUAAGUUCUGCCAGUUUUGAUUAAGAGGAUAAGCCAGGAGAAAAAAAGUUCUUCCUGUAAGACUAAAUCUGUACCUUCACUAGUAAAAAAUAUUGUUCAAGUGUUGCCAGGCAAAGCAUUAUUUCUGUAUUUUUAUUAUUAUAUUUUAUGUUGUAUAUGAUGAUAAUACAGUCUAUAUAUUUUUGUCUGUAAGACUGAUAAAUAAAAUGCAAAUUAAAUAUUCUUCUAAUACUUUGGUUUCUAACCAAAUAAAGACAUGGUCAAAUCACCCCACGUGCCAGGAAAUGCUUCUGAGUUGCAUAAUAAAGGUUUGAUAGUUUUAAGUAAGUGGGAUCUGG